rnacentral:rRNA from 1 species
GACGAACCGUGCGAACGUUGUUCGGAAUCACUGGGCUUAAAGGGCGCGUAGGCGGGCGACCAAGUCCGGGGUGAAAUCUUUCGGCUCAACCGGAAAAGUGCCUUGGAUACUGGUUGUCUUGAGGGAGGUAGGGGCAGGUGGAACUUCAGGUGGAGCGGUGAAAUGCGUUUAUAUCGGAAGGAACGCCGGUGGCGAAAGCGACCUGCUGGAUCUCUACUGACGCUGAUGCGCGAAAGCUAGGGGAGCAAACGGG